AUAUCAAUAAGCGGAGGAAAAGAAACCAACAGGGAUUGCCUCAGUAACGGCGAGUGAAGCGGCAAGAGCUCAAAUUUGAAAUCCGACUUCGGUCCGAGUUGUAAUUUGUAGAGGGCAUUUCGAGAGCGAUGUCGGCCUAAGUUCCUUGGAACAGGAUGUCAUAGAGGGUGAGAAUCCCGUAUGCGGCCGAAGGUCAAUCUUAUGUGAAAUCCCUUCGACGAGUCGAGCUGUUUGGGAAUGCAGCUCAAAAUGGGUGGUAAAUUUCAUCUAAAGCUAAAUACCGGCCAGAGACCGAUAGCGCACAAGUAGAGUGAUCGAAAGAUGAAAAGCACUUUGGAAAGAGAGUUAAACAGUACGUGAAAUUGUUGAAAGGGAAGCGCUUGCCAUUAGACCGAUCGUCGGGUUGUAGGCUCUGCUUUUGCGGAGCCGUAACGCACCCUUCUCUCGGCCAGCAUCGGUUUCGGUGGCUCAACAAAGAUCGUCGGAACGUGGCUCUUCGGAGUGUUAUAGCCGACGGUGUCAUGGAGCCUACUGGGACCGAGGACCGCGCUUCGGCUAGGAUGCUGGCGUAAUGAUGGCAAGCGACCCGUCUUGAAACACGGACCAAGGAGUCUAACAUCUAUGCGAGUGUUUGGGUGUCAAACCCAUGCGCGGAAUGAAAGUGAACGGAGGUGAGAACCUUUGGGUGCAUCAUCGACCGAUCCUGAUGUCUUCGGAUGGAUUUGAGUAGGAGCAUAGCCGUUGGGACCCGAAAGAUGGUGAACUAUGCGUGAAUAGGGUGAAGCCAGAGGAAACUCUGGUGGAGGCUCGCAGCGGUUCUGACGUGCAAAUCGAUCGUCAAAUUUGCGCAUAGGGGCGAAAGACCAAUCGAACUAUCUAGUAGCUGGUUCCUGC
rnacentral:rRNA from 1 species